rnacentral:rRNA from 1 species
GAUCCGGCUCAGAUUGAACGCUGGCGGCAGGCCUAACACAUGCAAGUCGAACGGUAACAGGAAGAAGCUUGCUUCUUUGCUGACGAGUGGCGGACGGGUGAGUAAUGUCUGGGAAACUGCCUGAUGGAGGGGGAUAACUACUGGAAACGGUAGCUAAUACCGCAUAAUGUCGCAAGACCAAAGAGGGGGGACCUUCGGGCCUCUUGCCAUCGGAUGUGCCCAGAUGGGAUUAGCUAGUAGGUGGGGUAACGG